UGUGUAUGUGUGUUUGUGUGUGUUAUUGUAUGUUAUUGUGGAUUAUAGUGUGUGUUUCCAUUGUCCACGUGUGCUCCGACCUGUGUGUGUGUGUCAUAGUGUAUUAUAGCAUGUGUUUUAUAGUGUGUGUGUGUGUGUGUGUGUGUGUGUGUGUGUGUGUGUGUGUGUGCGUGCGUGUGUGUGUGAGUGCUAUUGUGUGUGUAUUAUAGUGUGUUGUAGUGCGUAUUAUAGGGUAUUAUAGUGUGUUUGUGUGUGUGUUAUUGUAUGUUAUUGUUUGUGUAUUAUAGUGUGGGUGUCCAGUGUCCAGGUGUGCUCCUACCUGUGUGUGUGUGUUAUAGUGUAUUAUAAUGUGUGUGUGUGUCCAGUAUCCAGGUGUGCUCCUACCUGUGUGUGUGUGUGUGUGUGUGUGUGUGUGUGUGUGUGUGUUAUAGUGUAUUAUAAUGUGUGUGUCUGUCCAGUAUCCAGGUGUGCUCCUACCUGUGUGUGUGUGUGUCCGGCCGUCUGUCCGUCCUGCUGCUGCUAACUGAUCUGACCGUUAGCUAACAGGAUAUUUAUAGCGGCUGACGGCUGCUGCAGACAUCACAUGACCCUGAACCUCCAAUCACAACAUCUGAUGGACCUCAUUGAUCCCUGAGAGCUGAGAGGACGUCCCUGAAGCUGUCUGGACCUGAAGACCUCCUUCAUGGAAACCUCUGAAGGAUCAAAGACACUUUACUGCUGACCUCCAUCAGUUUACCUCCAGGUUCAACAAGCUGCAGCUCCUCAGAUGUCCACUAGGAGGCUCCAGGAGAACAUCAGAGUCCACAGACCUCCACUCAGGUCUGGACCUCCACCUUCUUCAUAACCUGUUCAACUCUGUCAGGUUCCUCAGAGAUCCUGAGGCAACAGGAUCAUGAUGCUGCCACCACCGUGCUUCUCAUCAUGAUGCUGCCACCACCAUGCUUCACAUCAUGAUGCUGCCACCACCACCGUGCUUCACAUCAUGAUGCUGCCACCACCGUGCUACACAUCAUGAUGCUGCCACCUCCAUGCUUCACAUCAUGAUGCUGCCACCUCCAUGCUUCACAUCAUGAUGCUGCCACCACCAUGCUUCCCAGUGGGGAUGGUGUGUUUGUGAUGAUGUUCAGUUUCUGAUGUCCAUAAAGCUCCAUCCUGGUCUCCUCAGACCAAAUGUCUUCUGGUGAACUCUAGUCCAGAUUUAAUUGGAGCUUUUUCCAUCAGAGUCUUUCUCUUUGUCUCCAUGAAGCUUUGACUGGUGAAGAACAGACAGCAGUUGUUGGAUGAAGUGCAGCCCUCUCUCUGCCAUAGUUCAUUGUUGGCCAUCAGGAAUCCCAUCAUGAACAGACAACUGCCAAUCAGUCACUUCCACAGUAUUGAACCUCCUAACUGUCACUCACAACACCUGAGUCAAUCACCUGCAGUCUCUCCCACCUAGAAUCCACCCCUGUUCCUUUGUUUGAAGCACAUCCAGCUUCAUUCAGACACACAACAGCCAUUUAUUAACAGCAGGAUCCCCCCACACCACUCAGCUGUGGAAACCUUCACCUUUAACAGCCUGGAAUCCUGGAAACCGGAGCAUCAAAGAACGCCUUCACCUCCACAACCAUGCCCUUGGAUUUCUGGAUGCCACCAGCAUGAACCAAACAUCUGGCUAAACAUCGUUUCCUGAACCUCAGUUCUGGUUCUGACCACAAGAGAGUUUCCAGAAACAGAAGAGAAUAAAGUUCUGAUUGGACCAGCUGACAGGAUCUGGAUGCUGAUUGGUUCAACUCAGAGAUGAUGUCAUCAUUCUCGGUUUAUUCUAACAGAACGAACCUCCAACACAGAGCCAGAGUUUAAUCAGGAACCCUAACUCAGGGGAAAGCAGAGUUCCAGUUCUGUGGCCUGAAUUCACCAAAUACCACCGACUGUAUCUGACCAUCAACAGCAAGAUGACCAAGUCCUCCGUCAGGUACUGGGUUCUACUGAGGUUCUAUUGUGGUUCUACUGAGGUUCUAUUGUGGUUCUACUGAGGCUCUAUUGUGGUUCUACUGAGGUUCUAUUGUGGUUCUACUGAGGCUCUAUUGUGGUUCUACUGAGGUUCUAUUGUGGUUCUACUGAGGCUCUAUUGUGGUUCUACUGAGGUUCUAUUGUGGUUCUACUGAGGUUCUAUUGUGGUUCUACUGAGGCUCUAUUGUGGUUCUACUGAGGUUCUAUUGUGGUUCUACCGAGGUUCUAUUGUGGUUCUACCGAGGCUCUAUUGUGGUUCUACCGAGGCUCUAUUGUGGUUCUACCGAGGUUCUAUUGUGGUUCUACCGAGGCUCUAUUGUGGUUCUACCGAGGUUCUAUUGUGGUUCUACCGAGGUUCUAUUGUGGUUCUACCGAGGCUCUAUUGUGGUUCUACCGAGGUUCUAUUGUGGUUCUAUCGAGGCUCUAUUGUGGUUCUACCGAGGUUCUAUUGUGGUUCUACAGAGGCUCUAUUGUGGUUCUACCGAGGUUCUAUUGUGGUUCUACCGAGGUUCUAUUGUGGUUCUACCGAGGUUCUAUUGUGUUUCUACCGAGGUUCUAUUGUGGUUCUACCGAGGUUCUAUUGUGGUUCUACCGAGGUUCUAUUGUGGUUCUACCGAGGCACUAUUGUGGUUCUACUGAGGCUCUAUUGUGGUUCUACCGAGGCUCUAUUGUGGUUCUACCGAGGUUCUAUUGUGUUUCUACCGAGGCACUAUUGUGGUUCUACCGAGGUUCUAUUGUGUUUCUACCGAGGUUCUAUUGUGGUUCUACCGAGGUUCUAUUGUGUUUCUACCGAGGUUCUAUUGUGGUUCUACCGAGGCUCUAUUGUGUUUCUACUGUGUUUCUACUGUAGUUCUAGUUAGGUUCACCGUGGUCCACUGAGCUACUGCUGUCUGACUAUUAUGGGCUGUACAGGACCAGGUUCAGUGGAGACAUUCUAUUGACUGGAUGAAUGUUUGAUCAAUAAUAAACUGAUCUGUUUGAUCAAUAUUAGAGGAAACUUUGCUGCACACAAUCCAACAAAAGCAGCUGAUAAAUCAAAUAAAAGCAGAAAAAAAGACUAAGCUGAGGGAAAUAAAGAAUCCUAAUGUUUGUCCUGAACUUUUAAGCGGGUUGUGAAGCUGUUUGUUUAUCAGAUGACAGAAUAAUGAAUAAAAACUGAUGAAGGAAUAAUUAAAGAUUCAUUUCAUUCUUUA